rnacentral:tRNA from 1 species
UAAAAACUUAGGAUNAAAUAAACCAAAAGCCUUCAAAGCUUUAAAUAAGGGUGCUACCCCCCUAGUUUU